rnacentral:rRNA from 1 species
UACGAAGGGGGCUAGCGUUGUUCGGAAUUACUGGGCGUAAAGCGCACGUAGGCGGGUUGUUAAGUCAGGGGUGAAAUCCUGGAGCUCAACUCCAGAACUGCCUUUGAUACUGGCAACCUAGAGACUGGAAGAGGUUAGUGGAAUUCCCUGUGUAGAGGUGAAAUUCGUAGAUAUUGGGAAGAACACCAGUGGCGAAGGCGGCUAACUGGUCCAGCACUGACGCUGAGGUGCGAAAGCGUGGGGAGCAAACAGG